CGUUGGCGCCUCGCGACGCUAGACAGCAAACCCCGCCAGGCCCGGAAGGGAGCAACGGUAGUUGUUGAUGCGGGUGCCGAGGGCACGCUGGCGGGG
rnacentral:SRP_RNA from 1 species